CCCUUAGAUGUUCUGGGCCGCACGCGCGCUACACUGAUGUAUUCAAUGAGUCUAUAGCCUUGGCCGAUAGGCCCGGGUAAUCUUUGAAAUUUCAUCGUGAUGGGGAUAGAUCAUUGCAAUUGUUGGUCUUCAACGAGGAAUUCCCAGUAAGUGCGGGUCAUCAGCUCGCGUUGAUUACGUCCCUGCCCUUUGUACACACCGCCCGUCGCUGCCCGGAACUGAGCCGUUUCGAGAAGACUGAGGAUUGCUGACUUGAGGCCUUCACGGGCUUCUAGUCGGUGAAAAUCAAUUUAAUCGCAGCGGCUUGAACCGGGCAAAAGUCGUAACA
rnacentral:rRNA from 1 species